rnacentral:lncRNA from 1 species
AGAAAAUUAUAACAUCAGAGACAGAAAUUGGGCAACAUUUUCUUUGAAGUCUUAAACUUGUCAAUGAUUGAAUGAAACGGCACGGUGGAGAGUGCUGGUAAGGACAUUAUCAAUGCCAGACAUAGCACAGAAAAACCUACUUUGUGUCCAAAUAAGAUUAAAAAGAUGUGUUGUUAUUAACUUAUGGAUGAUUGAAGAUGAGACGUUCAAGGGCUUUGAAAAAAACCAGCAGUUUAAAAAUAUCAGUUGAUCUCAUUUAACCUUUUGAGACUUUUGUAACAAAAUACUAAAUGUAACGAGAUAAGUUUACUUUUCUAGAAAUGUGUGUUUCCAUCUUUAUAACAAUAGCGGUUCACUCCAUGGAAAUAUUUAUUUGCUUGGUACUUUAUUUUUAGGAUAAAUGACUAAAUGGAUUUAUGUUUGUUUUGCAGGACGAAGGCAGAGGAUUGAGAAACGUCUCACUGCAGGACUAUCAGGCUGGUUUCCACCACACUCACACAUCCUGACAGCAGAUAGGGGAAACAAAGCUCAACCGUUGAGAUGUUGCUGAGUCAGCCAUGACAUCAUCAUGAGAUGUGUGAGCGGCGACCACAGGCAGCGACAGACGAGGAGCGCUCUGUGUCGUGGUUUGCAGCUGCUGGUUCUUGGCAAAAUAAAAGUGCUGUGCUGUUGCCUCAGGGAAAAAUGUUCUCAAAUGUUGAAAGGAAGAACAAAUUCAAGAGGUUUUGAAAAAGGGCAGUGCUGAGGUUUUUUAGCUUUCCCGACUCUUUCCGGCUUGUGGGCUGUUUUGGCUCCAAACUCUCCACACCCAGUGAAGUCAUGCUGUUGAAAUCCCAGCUUGUGGUGAACGCAGCAAGUAACACGAGUCACAUGUUACUCAACCUCUGGAGUAACAUCUUUCUCUUUAGAGGCGAGCUGAGAAAGCCAGUUAUUAAUAUUUGAGUGAUUUCCAGGCCUCCGUAGACUUUUGUAUUUUGUCUCUUAGAUUGAUCUGCUGUACUUGUGUGUAUAAAUAAUUAAACUAUAUUUUUACAACCAUGAUCUCUUCUAUUAUAGUCAUUUUUAGACGCCUGUGUCAUUUUUCUUGUAAUUUGGGUUCCUGGCAGAUUUAUAUUGUUAAAUUAACUACACUUAAAAUUUUUAACCUUAAAAUGUAAGUUUUGGUCUGC